UAAGUCACUUUGUCGUAAUGGCAAAUGUGAGAUGCAGUGUAUGAAACAUCUUAAAUUCCUAGUAUGAGAAAUUAAUGAUUUAAGUCCUUCUUAAAUGAGGCCAUUUACCCAUAGAGGGUGCCAGGCCCGUAUAACAUUAAUGAUUACUAGAAGAUGUUUUCAAAGAGUCGUGUUGCUUGAUAGUGCAGCACUAAGUGGGUGGUAAACUCCAUCUAAAACUAAAUAUAACCAUGAGACCGAUAGUAAACAAGUACCGUGAGGGAAAGUUGAAAAGAACUCUGAAUAGAGAGUUAAAUAGUACGUGAAACUGCUUAGAGGUUAAGCCCGAUGAACCUGAAUAUCCAUUAUGGAAAAUUCAUCGAUAUACCUAUACUAUUUUAUAUUACUUAUAAUAUUCAAUAUUAUAGUGAUAUUGUGCAUUUUUUCCAUAUAAGGACAUUGUAAUCUAUUAAUAUGAAAAUUAUUUAUUAUUUGUCAUAAGAUCAUAUUAAAAUAAGUUUAUUCAAAUUAAUUUAUUUUCAUAAUAUUUUAACAUAGAAUAAAUAUAAAUGAUUUGAUAAAGUAUUGAUAGAUUUAUUUAUAUAUAGUGCUUAAAUUUUAUAUAUAAAAUUUUAUAAAUAACAUAUAUAUAUUUUUAAUAUAUUUAUGUUCAUUUUAUAUGCACUUAUAUGAUUAACAAUGCGUAAGAUUCAGGAUACCUUCGGGACCCGUCUUGAGACACGGACCAAGGAGUCUAACAUAUGUGCAAGUCAUUGGGUAAUAUUUAAAACCCAUUGGCGUAAUUAACUUAACUUAUUUUUUUAAAAAAUAUUAUGGGAUUAAUUUUUUGAUUUUAUACAAAUCAAUUAAUUCAAUCCCGGGGCGUUCUAUAUAGUUAUGUAUAAUAAUAUUUUAUAUUAUUUAUACCUCUAACUAGAGCGUACCUUUAGCAUAUAUGCUGUGACCCGAAAGAUGGUGAACUAUACUUGAUCAGGUUGAAGUCAGGGGAAACCCUGAUGGAAGACCGAAACAGUUCUGACGUGCAAAUCGAUUGUCAGAAUUGAGUAUAGGGGCGAAAGACCAAUCGAACCAUCUAGUAGCUGUUCCCUCCGAAGUUUCCCUCAGGAUAGUUGGUGCAUUUAAAUAUUAUAUAAAAUAAUCUUAUCUGGUAAAGCGAAUGAUUAGAGGCCUUAGGGUCGAAACGACCUUAACCUAUUCUCAAACUUUAAAUGGGUAAGAACCUAACCUUUCUUGAUAUGAAGGUUUAGGUUAUGAUAUAAUGUGCCCAGUGGGCCACUUUUGGUAAGCAGAACUGGCGCUGUGGGAUGAACCAAACGUAAUGUUACGGUGCCCAAAUUAACAACUUAUACAGAUACCAUGAAAGGCGUUGGUUGCUUAAAACAGCAGGACGGUGGACAUGGAAGUCGUAAUCCGCUAAGGAGUGUGUAACAACUCACCUGCCGAAGCAACUAGCCCUUAAAAUGGAUGGCGCUUAAGUUGUAUACCUAUACAUUACCGCUAAAAUAAAUGAUUUAUAAUCAAUUUCGAUUGAAUUAUAAAUUGUGAAAUUUUAGUGAGUAGGAGGGUACAAUGGUGUGCGUAGAAAUGUUUGGCGUANGCCUGCAUGGAGCCGCUAUUGGUACAGAUCUUGGUGGUAGUAGCAAAUAAUCGAAUGAGACCUUGGAGGACUGAAGUGGAGAAGGGUUUCGUGUGAACAGUGGUUGAUCACGAGUUAGUCGGUCCUAAGUUCAAGGCGAAAGCCGAAAAUUUUCAAGUUUAUAUUAUUACAUAUAAAUAAUACAUUAAAUAAUAUAAUAUAUAUAUAUAACACUUGAAUUAUUUUGAACGAAAGGGAAUACGGUUCCAAUUCCGUAACCUGUUGAGUAUCCGUUUGUUAUUAAAUAUGGGCCUUGUGCUCAUCCUGGUAACAGGAACGACCAUAAAGAAGCCGUCGAGAGAUAUCGGAAGAGUUUUCUUUUCUGUUUUAUAGUCGUACUACCAUGGAAGUCUUUCGAAGAGAGAUAUGGUAGAUGGACUAAAAGAGCAUGACAUUUACUGUUGUGUCGAUAUUUUCUCCUCGGACCUUGAAAAUUUAUGGUGGGGUCACGCAAACUUCUCAACAGGCCGUACCGAUAUCCGCAGCUGGUCUCCAAGGUGAAGAGUCUCUAGUCGAUAGAAUAAUGUAGGUAAGGGAAGUCCGCAAAUUAGAUCCGUAACUUCGGGAUAAGGAUUGGCUCUGAAGAUUGAGAUAGUCGGGCUUGAUUGGGAAGCAAUAACAUGGUUUAUGUAUUCGUUCUGGGUAAAUAGAGAUUUUCGGAUUUUGUUCCCCGGAUAGUAAUUACGUAACCAAUUGUGGAACUUUCUUGCUAAAAUUUUUAACGGAUUAUCGCUUUUUUUUUUUUAAAGAAUGAGGAUAUAUUCAUUUUAAAUUAUAACGAUUAUCAAUUAACAAUCAAUUCAGAACUGGCACGGACUUGGGGAAUCCGACUGUCUAAUUAAAACAAAGCAUUGUGAUGGCCCU
rnacentral:rRNA from 1 species